GCUUCACGCUGUUGGGAUUAAGAAAAUUAUUCAUAGAUCGAAAUCAGAUUCGUGGAUAGCAUUUGGACCCUGAUCUUGAUCAUCUUGAUGAACACCUCCCUCCCACUUAGCGAUGUGGUCCUGGGCGGGCCGUGUCCCCUGCCAGCGCCAACCAAACCUACAAUCCUCCAGGUCCGCGAAAGUAAAAGUUCCGCGGCGCAAGGGGAACCCCCUCCUCAGAGGAACCCUGUCGUCCCCCUCCCCAGGAGGGGGAAGGUCGCCGUCGCAUGCGACCAAAGAGAGGGAAAAUAAGUUGUUAUAUAUUAAUAAUUCUGGUAUCUUUCACCGUUACUCGAAAUACUCGCGAAUCAACUGGUGCCGUGUCGUGGUGCGAAAGUUCGGACUUUUUGGACUUGUGGUACAGUGCUUUGUGGAAAAUUUGGAGUGAUUGGAGUGACCAUGAAGUUUCUGGUUAUAUUUGGACUCCUGGCCACGUCAGUCCUCGCCGACCGGCCCUCCUCCAACAGCGACAACAAAGCUGAGGCGGCAUCCUCCUCCAGUUCGAAGACCCACGAAAAGCGCACGACCGCCUACAGCGUGUACGGGCCGCCUAGCCAGCACGCGCACAAUGGACCAACGCCCUCCUACUCGCCGGGCUACGUGAGCAGCUACGCACCCACCUACGCCUCAGGGGUGGACUACUCGGCACCCGCCACCUACGCCAUCGCCGCCCCCUACGCCGCGGCAACCCAUGGCUCGUACGCUAUUGCAGCGCCAUACCCAGCACCCGUAGCCGUCGCUGUUCCUGCCGCUAACUACGCCCGCCGUGCCCACAGCCAACUACGCCGCCGUGCCCGCACCCAACUACGCCGCCAUUGCCCAUCCCCUCUUCGUGCCGAACAGCGGCGUAGACUCCCACGCCCUCGCCUACCCCGCUGCAACCUACGCAGGCCCCAGCCUUGGCGUCUACCCCGCCAUCGGCAUCCCUGCCACCUACCCCCCUGCCGGCUACAACUUCCCGCCACCCAACUACGUGCCCUACACGGGACCGAACCGCGGGCUGAUAACUGAAAUUGAUGGACAAAGCUAUAGACAAAGAAGACCUAGGUAGAAUAGGGAGCGAUCCUAAUGGUUGAAAUGGGUGGUUCUUGUAGAAUGAAGAGGAAAAUUAUGGACUAAAUGCAGUUUCUCCUGUCGGUUGCCGUUAGAUAGGCUAUUUCUUACCUUUCUUUUUCCAUUGCAGCUAGCCGUUUCCACCAAUACGAUCGCACCAUUACGUGUCCGCUUCUUAUCUCUAUCGAUUUGUCUAUCAGUUUCAAUAAUCAGCCCGCUGGUUUCGGAUGGAAAUCCAAAAAUAUGACUGAGAUCGCUUGGCGAUCUGCAACUGAAUUCUUACGCCCGAAUUCGGACAUAAUUUUUGACAUUAUUUUUCUGAACCGACAACCAAGCUCUGUCUCCGAAUCACGACAACGAGUUGUAAACUCGCGCGAUUCCAAGUUGCAUCGACAUCGCACAUGUUGUUGCACUCCCCUUAUCCCACCUUGGAGUUGCGAUUAUCGCGACCACCGAUUUAUCGCUAAUCGACGUAUCGCAAAAGCUCGGCCCGUGCCGUGCCGGCUGGCGUUGAGAGGAAAAGUUUUCGUGCACUGUCGAUUCCCUGAUUGAUGUGUUAUGAUUACGAGCGCCAGGGAGCACUAAUUGUGUCCGUUUUUAUACCGACCGUUGGUGAUCGCGAAUUUCUCAUGGAGGAGCACUUCCGCUCCUUCGCCAUUGCCUCCUCUUUUGCCGGAUUUAACGUCAUUCAAAAUUUCAACGGGUCACUAGACAGGAUAAAGAUGAAAUUUUUCAUCAAAAGGAGAGAUAAAACAUCGAUUCAAAGGCCACAUCUCAUGACUUUAUGAAUCAAUUACAUUCUCUUAGCAAGGAAAAGGUAUUAUAAAUAAACGUAUAUGUAUAUACGACUCACGCUCGCGUGUUGACCGUUCGUUUCGUUCUUCUUUCUCAUUGUCAGUUGCUUGUACAGAUCAUGUGAUUUAUAUGGAAUAUUCAAAGCAGUUGUUUCAUGUCUGUAUUUGAUUAGCCGAUCGUCAUUUUUAACGAGAGUAAAUCUUAAAGAGAUGAAAACCCUUACCUAAGUUUCUCGUAUCACACGAGUUGAUGAUAUCGAAUCCCGUGAUGCGUUCGACCGUAUCGCCGUUUUUGCACCCUAGGAAUCUCCAAAAGCACGUAACGCACAUCUUCCACUCUUGGUUCUUUUUAAACUCACAAGUGGAAGAUCCCGAAUCCCGCGUGAUGCGUUCGACCGAAUACCCGUUUUUGCACCCCGAGGAAUCUCCAAAAGCAUGUAACGCACAUCUUCCGCACUUGGUGCGUUUUAAAUUCUAAAGUGGAAAGAUCCGGAAUCCGGUGAUGCGUUCGACCGAAUAGUCGUUUUUGCACCCCUAGGAAUCUCCAAAAGCACGUAACGCACAUCUUCCACUCUUGGUCCAUUAAACUCAAAAGUGGAAGAUUCUGAAUCCCCUGAUGCGUUCGACCGAAAAGUCGUUUUUGCACUCCUAGGAGUCUCCAAAAGCACGUAACGCACAUCUUCCGCACUUGGUGUGUUUUCGGUUCUGGCAAAAGUUGUAGCAGGCUUUAUUUGAACAUCGACUUAUGUGAUAAUAUUUACAAAUUUUGAUCCGUAUUCUUUUUGUCCUCGAUAUUCCUCAAAUUUCAAGUCCGUUUUUUCAUAAGUAACUCUUUACGAACUUCAUGCACUGGUUUGGGUCAUCGACAGGAGACAGCAGGAUGCCAAUUCAAAAGUGCGCUUUAAACCGCCAGCGGCACCGCGUCACUUCAUGCGAGUUAGUGAGACGCCAAAUUAGCGGUGAGUGAAUGUUCCGCAGAUUUUUGCCAACUCUAAUGACGGAUUACGCGUUAUUACUCAACUGGAUUACGACUUCCCACCAUGUCACAUAAACUGGCUCUACCCACAGUGGAUAAUCUCUCUUUCGAACCUGGACUGCUUGAAACUCGGCGCAUUAAAAUCUCUCUCAAUAAUCAAUUCAUUUUGAACUAUAUGUCUUAAGCAUGUUUUUAAAAUUUUCUAUAAAACAUGUUUUCUUCCGAAUCAAUACUCGGGAAUAUUGUUCAAAACAGAAAUAUUGUUUUCGAGAAAUCGUUUCUUGGUUGGUGGCAUUAUGCACUUUGGAACUAUAAAUUCUGGCUCAUCUGAAAAAACACUUAUGUACAUCGGGAAACUAAUUGCAGAUACGUUGUUUUUAAACUGGGCCAGAAUUUAUAGUUCCAAAUUGCAAAAUGCAGUCCAUAUUAUCUGUAUCAUUUCUCUAAUGAAGUUAUAUAUUCCUUAUUUUGGCAGUACACAGAUACUG
rnacentral:lncRNA from 1 species